rnacentral:rRNA from 1 species
AGAGUUUGAUCAUGGCUCAGGACGAACGCUGGCGGCGUGCUUAACACAUGCAAGUCGAACGGUGAAGCCCUUCGGGGUGGAUCAGUGGCGAACGGGUGAGUAACACGUGAGUGAUCUGCCCCUCACUCUGGGAUAAGCGUUGGAAACGACGUCUAAUACCGGAUAUGACUUACGGACGCAUGUUCUGUGGGUGGAAAGAUUUUUCGGUUGGGGAUGGGCCCGCGGCCUAUCAGCUUGUUGGUGGGGUAGUGGCCUACCAAGGCGACGACGGGUAGCCGGCCUGAGAGGGUGACCGGCCACACUGGGACUGAGACACGGCCCAGACUCCUACGGGAGGCAGCAGUGGGGAAUAUUGCGCAAUGGGCGAAAGCCUGAUGCAGCGACGCCGCGUGUGGGAUGAAGCUCUUCGGGGUGUAAACCACUGUUGCCCGGGACGAAACUCCUGCUUUGGCGGGAUUGACGGUACCGGGUGAGGAAGCACCGGCUAACUCCGUGCCAGCAGCCGCGGUAAUCA